rnacentral:rRNA from 1 species
UACGAAGGGGGCUAGCGUUGUUCGGAAUUACUGGGCGUAAAGGGCGCGUAGGCGGUCCUGAUCGUCGGAUGUGAAAGGCCUGGGCUCAACCUGGGAACUGCAUCCGAUACGGCGGGACUGGAGUGUGGGAGAGGUUGGUGGAAUUCCCAGUGUAGCGGUGAAAUGCGUAGAUAUCGGGAGGAACAUCAGUGGCGAAGGCGGCUGUCUGGCCCAAUACUGACACUCAGGUGCGACAGCGUGGGGAGCAAACAGG